rnacentral:rRNA from 1 species
GCCUGUUUAUCAAAAACAUAGCCUACUAUUUAACUUAGGUACAACCCUGCCCUCUGACUUUUAACAGCCGCGGUAUCCUAACCGUGCUAAGGUAGCAUAAUCACUUGCCUAUUAAUUAUAGGCUAGAAUGAACGGGAUCACUCACUUAAACUUAUUUUUAUUUAAAUUUAAAUUAAACUUUAAGUCAAAAUACUAAAUUAAAAAGAAAGACAAAAAGACCCUGAAAACUAUUAGAAAUAAUUAGUUGGGGCAACUAUAGACCACUCUAGCGUCUAUUUUUUUUUAAACUCUUAAAAUCUAAAGUAUCCAGUUACUUCAGGGAUAACAGACUAAUUUUAUUAUUUAGACCCAAUAAAUAAUAAAGAUUGGCACCUCGAUGUUGGCUUAUAUUUCCUUCAUAUAGCAACAUAUAUAGAAGGCAGCUUGUUCAUCUGUUAAAUAUUUACAUGAGCUGA